CCUGGUUCUCAAACGCUACUGUCACUGCUGAGGGGGUGAAUGUUAGAGACGUGUCAUUCUCCUGUUUCAUGAACUCUUUAUCCAGCUGCAUUGUGACCAUCUCCGAAACUGUCUUUUCGAUUUCAGCAGAGAGAUCAGGAAAAGUUGGAUUUAUCUCUGCAUUGCUGACAGAAGAUACAGCCACCAUAACCCGAUGAGAAGAUGAAGAAAGCACUUCUAUAACUGAAUUCCGACGUCUCUGGUACAAACGAAGCAAAGGAUCAGAAGUAGAGUGCCUUCGACCUUGAAAAAAAGUGCUCAGAAAAUUCACAGCUGAGAGCCGUCUAGGCGAGCCCUGCAUUGUCACCCCUCGUUAUGGUUUGAUCACACUGUUGGAGCAAGUGUAUACGAAACCAACUUGCUGAAUUAUGAAGUUACACAGAGAUAUGUGCAUCAUUCCGUAUGAUCUAAUAGUGAUUCAGGAUAGGCUGACUGGUUUCCAUAGUGACAAACAAUGAAACCACUGAUUCCCAUUAGCUCUGUGGAAGCAAAAUCCUAUAUGAAUGGAUUUAGUUUUGGACAAAUUGUUCAAAUGCUGGACAUGUUGGAGCACUACUUUUUUGCUGACCCCCUCUUAGGCAGUAAAGAAGAAUAUAAUACUAGAAUAUGACACAGGAUACUAAACAUCCUAGAUUAUUUACUCAUGGAUCAUGUAUAAGGAUGAUGGGAUUAUAGAUUUAGAGCUAUAGGAAACCUUCAAAAUCAUCUACUACAACCUCCUACUUAUAUAGAUGAAAACACUGAGGCCCAGAGACUUUUUUUUCCUGGUGAAAUGACUUAUCUAAGGUCAUAAAAGUAAGUAGCAUAGUCAAGACUUGAAUCUAGUUUCUCCAAAUCCAUAAUUCUUUCUACUGUGCCAUAAAAUAACCAAUAAUGGCAUUCCCUUGACAGAACUCCUCAUUAAGUACUUUGAUUUAGUUAUAACAAUAUGUUUAGAGUCGAAAUCUCAAAAGUUGUAAAUAAGGGCAGUGUAAACUCAGAUAGUAACCUUUUUCUCCCUUUUUCAGAAAACAAUAUAAUUUUUGUUUUUGUUUAGCUAAUAAUAGUAUUGCCAAAUAUACAAAAUAUUUUUGCCUCAGCCACUUAACUGAGAAAGUUAUUUUAAAAUAUCUUAUUAAUUUAGAUAGGUACACUCCCCCAAAUCCACUGUGUUAUAUUUUUAGGAGAUAGCUCAGGGGGAGGCUAAACACUUGAGAACUGUAAGAUGACAAAGAUGUAAUGAAAGAAAAAAAAAAUUACAAUCACCACUGAACAAACAGACCUUGGCUCUUCCUUCACAGAAUUCUAGAGCUGGAUGGGACUUCACAAGUCAUGUAAAUCAAGCUCCGUGUGACUAGGAGUAGGGCCACCAUCUCUAAUAAGUAUUUGACUAGCACUGACUUAAGACUUUAAGGUGCUGGGAAACCUAUUACUUCCUGUGGUAGACCAUGAGAUCAUAGAUUGAGAGCUAGAAAGGGCCUUCAAUUGUCCUUCUAGUGAAAUACCUCAUUUGAUAGAUCAGAGAACUGAGGGCUAGAGAGGUGUUGACUUUUUCAAGAUGAUACAAAUGCAGGUAUUAAAUAGCAAAAUUGUUUUGGUUUUUUUUAAACCCUUACCUUACAUCUUAGAGUUAAUACUGUGUAUUGGCUCCAAGGCAGAAGAGUGGUAAGGGCUAGGCAAUGGGGGUCAAGUGACUUGCCCAGGGUCACACAGCUGGGAAGUGUCUGAGGCCAGAUUUGAACCUAGGACCUCCCGUCUCUAGGCCUGGCUCUCAAUCUACUGAGCUACCCAGCUGCCCUCUUAAAUAACAAAAUUGUGAUCUUCCAAUUCCAUUUUUUCCAGUGUACCACAAUGCCACUUAAUAUAAGGUCAUAUUCUAUUUUCCACCAUAGAAGUAAUAGGAUAUAUUAUCCAUUAUCUGAAGAACCCCAAUCCCUUUCUUAUAGAAAACAGGAGAUAAAGAAUCCAUUUGAAUACAAAUGGAUAUAUAGGAUAAUUUAGACUGUGCAAUUAUGAGUCACUUUUUUUAAAAAAAGCCUUACCUUCUAUCUUAGAAUGGAAUAUUGAUUCUAAGGCAGAAGAAUGACUAGAGCUAAGCAAUGGGGGUUAAGUACUUGCUCAGGGCCACAUAGCUAGGCGAUGUCUGACAUCACAUUUGAACCCAGUUCUUCCUGACUUCAGGCCUGGUGCUCUGUCCACUGUGCCACCCAGAUCACUCAUUUUUGAAAAACCAAGAAACAUAGAGCCCUUAAGGAAGCGGACUGAAAGCAAAAGGACCAGGAAGAAUGCUUUCUCCCUAAACUAUAAGCAGCUUUCACUUAGAAUGUACAAGCUAACACAUUAUACUAGGUGGUAAUAGAAUAAGAACUAAGAGAUGCACUGUCCUACCACCUCCCGAGCCAACAUCAUUUAGCACUGUUGUGAUCCCUGUCCUCAAAGAGCUGAUAGUCUAGGAGUGUCAAUAAAACAUAUCCUAAUAAUUACCAUACAAGAAAGAAACAAAAAUUCAGAGGAAAAAAAUGAAUUGCGAAAGAGUUCAGGAAAGGAAGCUACUGUUUCUGAUAAUGUGACUGAGUCAAAUUCCUUUAUGUCAAAAAUAUCUGUUAUUAAUUAGCCUCCAUCAUUAACUAUGCCUUCCCUCUGAGACUAUUCCCAAUUUAUCCUGCCUAUAUCUUAUUUGUACAGAGUUGGUGGCAUGUUCUCUUCCCCAUUAGACUGUCAGCUCCUUCAGAGCACCGACUGUCUUUUGCCUUCCUCUGUCUCCUCUGAGAUUAGCUUAAUGGUAUUGUCUGAGUCCAAAGCACUCCAGAAUUGCACUGGAGCAAAGAAGAUGGCUCUAUGUUUUUGAAGGCUAAGCCAACGGAACUAUAAACACUGGUAGUUUCUACCAAGCUGGAAUGGCUUCAAGCAAGUACUGUUCUCCAGUGACUAACUGUCCCAAGACUAGGUGGCUGAAUUUGGAAAACCUCAUUCAUUGCUGUAACACCAGGUGACAACUCACUUCAUCCAAAAUGACUCUUGGACAGAGACUGAUUAAGGACCCUCAUGCAACACUGGUCUACUUCCAUUGUGAUAAUGUGCUAAGAAUAAGUUUUUUUUGACUAGCUCAAAACAUUCUCCUAAAUCAUGGCACUCUGACCACAUAAGUCUGUCCAUCAGCCAACAAAUGGUAAACUAACUGAGGAACUAGAUCAUAUCCAUCCUGAUGAUAUUGCUUUAAAUAAAGCCAGAAGACAUAAAGAAGUGGCAACUAAAUGGAUAAAUAGCUUUUGGAUCUCUGUUAAUUAUUAAAAAUAGCUAUUAAACUAAAAAAAACUAUUCAUCUCUAUUAGAGACAAAGGAAUUGGUUGAAUCAUUUGCCCAAAUGAAAAACAAAUAUUUCUCAGGAAACUUGGCUCAUCUCUCUUUGCAGCACUCAAAAUGAGUGCUAGAAAAAGACCCCUAUGAGGACAGGCACAAAAGAUGAAGAUGAGGAAUUUUAUAAAUAAUUUGGCAAGGCUCUCUAAACUGAAUCAACACUACCUUGCAUUCAGGGACUUCAUAUAGGCUGACACAAGAAGUCAACGAGCACUUCCCAAAGUGAAUACUAUGUGCCAGACACUGUGAUAAAUAAACACUGAGGGCCCAAAGAACAAAAACUGCUAAUCUUGAGCUCAUGUUCUAAUGAGGGAAACAACAUGAAAAUAACUAUGCAAAGAUAUCUAAAGAGGGGAGGACAGAGAAAAGGAUGGUUAAUUAUGGUUUAUAUGGGUCCCUUCUCUUCUGGAACUUCUUGAGGUCUCAGGCUGUUAAGUAUUACAGGAUCAAAGUUGGGCUUCUAGACAUAUAUCCCUAGGGGGGUCAGUGACAAAAGGGUGAUCCCGUGUACAAGACAAUGCUGGAAACACAGAAGAGGCCCAUCAAGUGGGGAAUGGCUAAACAAGUGGGAGAACUUGUGAAUAUAAAAGAAUAUUACUGUACUCUAUGAAAAGGAUAGAUACAAUGAAUAUAGAGAAGUGAACAAGGAAACCCAGCCACUGAUGCCUAAUGAUGUAAGCAGAACAAGGAAACCAAUUCCAAAGUGAUUAUGACAAUAGAAACAAGAACAAUGGGAAGAAAAUAAUCAAAACUGAAUGCUGUGAUAUUGACCAAGCUUAGUUGAAAAUUAGAGAUGUGAUGCCCCUCUGUUCUUUGUAGAAGGAGGAACUAAGGAAGGGGACUUUUGUAUACUAUCAGACUUUUUAUAUGUGCAUUAAUUUUGCUGAAAUGAUUUUGUCUUAACUUUUUUUUUGCACUUUAUUAUAGAAGAUUGCUCUGGGAAGAAGUUACAUUGAGAAAUGUAGAUGACAUAGAAAUAAAAUAUCAAUAAGAAAUUGUUUUAAAAUAUAAAACAUGGCAUCCAGAAUUGAAUAUAACAAUUCUGGAUGUGGUCUGAGCAAGGGCAGAGUUAGAAGGACUAUCAAACUGUCUUGUGGGCCAUUUCUCUUAACACAGCCUAAGACCUUCAGCAUUUCCAGUGCUCCUUCUGUUUAGGGCCAAAUUACACCUGACAAGAGUAGGUGCAUGGCUGCCAAUCUGUGGGAGUGCUGACACCAAUAAGAUAAGGGAUGUACUAAACUAUCAGCUACCAUCUAUCUACCUAGGUUCUAUAAGUUUCUAAAUAUGUUGUAAAAAUAAAAUUUUUUCCAAGGGAUUAUUUCCUCUUUCUAAGAAUACACAAAUAUUACCCUUAUACUUUCUUUAUAUAUCCUUCAUACUGUAAAAAUGGAGAUUUGAACCCAAGACUUCAAUCCCCAGAAGUCCUUGGCACUUCCCAGAAUGCCCUAUAAUCUCACCUGAGUCCUUACUUGAGUGUGAGAUCAGCAUUUGUAUUUAAACUGACUGUAAUGCCUACUUGGCUCUCUCUGCUUCAGCUUCUAAGUACACGCGCCUCUCAAGAUGUAGUAAGUUAAACUGAAUAGGUUUUUUUCUAUUUUUGUAUUUCUUUAUCCUUGAUUUCUAAUAAUCUUUAAUAAACCUCUAAAAUAUAA